GGGUGGUUAGCUCAGCUGGUUAGAGUACUUGCUUCACACGCAAGGGGUCGAUGGUUCGAGUCCAUUACUACCCA
rnacentral:tRNA from 1 species